GUGCUCCUCAGUGGUGGGUUUUGGAGCCAGUGGGCCUCCUGGAGGAGCUUUACACACUGGCUUCCUGGUCCGAACUCAGCUGUUAUCACUGGAGGAGUUUGGGACCCUGUUGCUGAGGAUGCCUGUGAUUUCAAAAGACCUUAACUAAGCUAUGAAGGAAUCCCAGAGUAAAGGUGCUCCCAAAGUGUUUGCUAUAGAACAACUAAGAUAAAAAUACAUGACCUCACUAAGUUGCACAAGCUACCCUCAAACUUGCAAAUCCUCCUGCCUCACUCCCCAACCACCUGGGAUUACAGAUUGGCCUUAAACUUGCUACGUCACCCAGGCUGGCCUCUUCCUCACACCAACCCUCCUCCUCCCAGUUCAGCUUCCCAAGUGCUGCUGUUACAGGCAGGCACCACAAUGCUUGGCAGCGAAGAAUAAAUUUUAAAAGAAUAAAUGGCACAAAAGAAAAUCCGACAAAGGACAGUAAAAUAAAGUUAUCAAAAGACUAUGAAUAGACAAUAAAUGUUUAAAUUAUCAAUUUUUACUAGCAAUGUAAGAAAUAACUGAACUAAAUAAUAAAUAAACUUUUUCCUAUCAAAAU